CUUGUGUCCGUCCAUCCCCUCUACAGCCCCUGUGUCCGUCCGUCCCCUCUACAGCCCCUGUGUCCGUCCGUCCCCUCUACAGCCCCUGUGUCCGCCCGUCCCCUCUACAGCCACUGUGGUCGUCGUCCCCUCUACAGCCCCUGUGUCUCACCCCUCUUCAGCCCCUGUGUCCCCCCACACUACACCCCCUGUGUCCCUCUCCUCUACAGCUUCUGUGUGUGCCCCCCUCUACAGCCCUGCAAAGUCAAGGGGCAACUCACCACCAAGCUGAUCUAAUGGUGGCCUCCUAGACACGACCAACAGCGAGACGCAGGUACUACCAACAAG